rnacentral:lncRNA from 1 species
AGCAUUCCAACAAACCUUUCCAUAACAUCAGUAACGUUUUUGUUCUAAAGAGCUUCAUUCAAGCUUUAUUUCAUAAGUUACUAAAGGAAAAGGGUCAGCCAAGAUGGUCUUUGCAUAAGCAGCGUUAUUGUUUCAGGCUUUUCAUAUAACUUAUUCCGUGUUUUGUUGUAAUUAAUGUGUGUUAGAGGAUUGUCAAGAGAAUCGACUCAGGUAUGUUAAGGCUAAUCCUUCUUUCUUUUGGCAUGACCCAAGUAACGAUACGUAAACGUAAUGCUAUUCCAUAAGUGAUUCUACUCUUAGCAGUUAAGGAUGUCUAUGUUAUUCAUUCCAGUAAAGUGAUAUUCAAGCAUGUCUACGUGUGUCCCUAGUCCCUAUUGAGGUAUAUGACAGAGAACUUGUGUUACAAAUAUAUGUGUUGAGAUUUGUUUAUAAAUAUUAUUUUUAUAGUUUAACUAAACAUGUAGUAAUUAUAUGCAUAUAAUGAACAAAUAUAACAUGAUUAUUUGUAAUAUUAAACUUACACUAUUGUGUUAUUACAUGAUAUUUAAUAGUAGAGUAGUCAUAUUGUGAUCAAUAAUUGAUUGUAAAAAUAUAUUAAUAUUAUAGUUUGCGGUUGUUUGUGACAAGUUACACUUGAAAAUUGAUUAUGAACUAUAACAUAAUGAAUUAUAAUAUAGUAUAUAUUGUUACAACACAAAAUGUUAUAAAAUAUCAAUUUGAUUAUAAUAUAUCGUUAGAUUGUUGUAGAUUGAUUUUGAAGUAACGAUUCAUGCAUAAUAAAGGUUUAUAAUGCAUUUUUAUUUAGUUGUAUAGGUAGUUUGACGUUGUGAUAUAUAUGAUUGUAUAAAUACUAUGAUGAAAUUCAUUCAACUUAAUGUAAGACAAUUACCAUAUAUUGUCAUGACUGAUAAUUGCACUGUUAACAAUGGCUAUCUUGAUAACUUUUGGGGUACUAACAUAAAAGAUAUACGAUUGUGUAUAUAUAGUAUAAUUAUUAUGUGUUAAGGCCGUAUGAUAUUGAUGGAAUUAGGUAUUUUGUGGUGUAGUUUUAGAUAAUUGAUUUUGAUUAAUUAUGAUAGUAGAUAAUGACGUGUAAUAAGUAAUAGAAUUAAUGUUAUGUAAUAAAUAUGAUUAAGACGUUGAAUGAAGUUGUGUAUGGUAUAUGAUAGAGAGGUUAAUAUUUAUAAUAUAGUGAUACAUGUACAUGCAUAUUCAUGCAUUUACGACCGUGCUACGGCCGGUCGGACAGUUAUCACCGAUUGGGCAGUUAUAUAUCAUUAUUUACCGCCGGUUGGGUAGACAUGCAUAUUCAUUUACCACCGAGCUACGACCAGUUGGGCAGUUACAUAUUUACCACCGAGCUACGACCGGUUGGGCAGUUACAUAUUUACUACCGAGAUACGGCCGGUCGGGCAGUCAUGCAUUUACUACCGAGCUACGGCCGGUUGGGUAGUUACAUAUUUACCACCGAGCUACGGCCGGUCUGCCAGUUACCACUGAUCAGUUGGGCAGUCAUGCAUCAUACAACAUAGAUAAUAGUCUCAAAGAGAGGCAUUAUAUAUACAAGUAUAAUAAGUAUGCAUAUACGGUGGCACUUCAGAGACUCAGGUUGAUUCUUAUAUGUCUUUAAAGUAAUGUGGACUUAUUGUUAUGUUUCAGUUCUGCCUUACAUACUUAGUACAUUAUUCGUAUUGACGUCCUAUUGUUGGGGGCGCUGAAUUCAUGCAUGCAGAUAUAGAUAAUCAGUUUGACGAGCCCUCAUAGUAGACGAGAUUGACAUUCAGCAAAGAAUCGGUAAGACUCCACCUCAUUCGGAGUGCAGCCGAGUCUAUGAGUCAUCGUGUCAGAAUUUUGCUAAAGACUUAUGGGUAGGCCGGUACCUUAUCCUAUUUGAUGUCAAAUAAUCUUUGAGGCUUUGUAGACAGAGGUUCAUUUUGUACAGUAUGUCAGAGGCCUUGACGGCCCAUAUGUAUUCAUGUUUUAAGAAAAAUGGUUCAAUGAUACAGUGUUGUCCACUUAUAUUAUGAGUUGUAGCCAUAUUGGCCCAUGAUACUUAUAGAAGAAAAAUAUAUGAGUUACAUACUGGUUCGCUCGGGCCAGCACAGCACCGGGUGCCAGCCACGCCUCCCCAGGUUUGGGGCAUGACAUCUUUCACCAUGCAAUGCAGUAUGAGGCGAUCUUUUAGCCAUGCAAUGCAGUAUGAGGCGAUCUUUCAGCCAUGUAAUGCAGUAUGAGGUGAUCUUUCAGCCAUGCAAUGCAGUAUGAGGCGAUCUUUCAGGCAUGCAAUCCAGUAUGGGGCGAUCUUUCAGCCAUGCAGUGCAGUAUGAGGCAAUCUUUCAGCCAUGCAAUACAGUAUGGGGCGAUCCUUCAACCAUGCAAUGCAGUAUGGGACGAUCUUUCAUGAUGCAGUGUAGCAUGAGGCGAUCUUUCAGCCAUGCAAUGCAGUAUGGGGCGAUCUUUCAGCCAUGCAGUGUAGUAUGAGGCGAUCUUUCAGCCAUGCAAUGCAGUAUGAGGCGAUCUUUUAGCUAUGCAAUACAAUAUGGGGCGAUCUUUCAGCCAUUCAAUACAGUAUGGAGCAAUCUUUCAGCCAUGCAAAUGCAGUAUAGGGCGAUUUUUCAGCCAUGCAGAUGCAGUAUGAGGCGAUCUUUCAGCCAUGCAUAUGCUAUAUGAGGCGAUCUUUCAGCCAUGCAAUGCAGUAUGGGGCAAUCUUUCAGCCAUGCAAUGCAGUGUGAGGCGAUAUUUCAUCCAUGCAAAUGCAGUAUGGGGCGAUAUUUCAACCAUGCAGAUGCAGUAUGAGGCGAUCUUUCAGCCAUGCAAUGCAGUAUGGGCUAUCUUUCAGCCAUGCAGAUGCAGUAUGGGGCGAUUUUUCAUCCAUGCAAUGUUGUGUGACGGCAGUGUUUAGCCUUAUGCAAGGAUGAAGGCAGUGUUUAAUCUUAUGCAAGGAUGGAGGCAGUGUUUAACCUUAUGCAAGGAUGGGGGCAGUGUUUAGCCUUAUGCAAGAUUAGAGGCAAAGCUUAGCCUCCUGCAAGUGGGGGAAGGUAGUUCUUAGCCUUAUGCAAGAAUGGAGGCAGAGCUUAGCCUCAUGCAAAUGAUGAGAAGUCAGUGUUUAGCCUUAUAGAAGUAGAGGAAGGCAAUGGUUAGCCUUGUGUAAAUAAGAGAAAGCAAUUCUUUGCCUUAUGAAGAUGAAGACUUUGUGAUUUGCGGUGUAUAUCCCUAUACAGGUGGUGAUCUUCGUGCUUUGCAACAUAUGUCUGUUGAGAAAAGUUUUACAUUGUUGUACCUAUCAUUCCUUUUCGAAGACUCUGAUGAAUACAAUCCCAA